GACGAACGCUGGCGGCGUGCUUAACACAUGCAAGUCGAACGGAAAGGCCCUGCUUGCAGGGUACUCGAGUGGCGAACGGGUGAGUAACACGUGGGUGAUCUGCCCUGCACUUCGGGAUAAGCUUGGGAAACUGGGUCUAAUACCGGAUAGGAACCAUCUUUAGUGUGGUGGUUGGAAAGUUUUUUCGGUGUAGGAUGAGCUCGCGGCCUAUCAGCUUGUUGGUGGGGUAAUGGCCUACCAAGGCGGCGACGGGUAGCCGGCCUGAGAGGGUGUACGGCCACAUUGGGACUGAGAUACGGCCCAGACUCCUACGGGAGGCAGCAGUGGGGAAUACUGCACAAUGGGCGCAAGCCUGAUGCAGCGACGCCGCGUGGGGGAUGAAGGCCUUCGGGUUGUAAACUCCUUUCGCUAGGGACGAAGCUUUGUUGUGACGGUACCUAGAUAAGAAGCACCGGCUAACUACGUG
rnacentral:rRNA from 1 species